UUGACUCUUACAAUAUCACAUAUUGCUUGGU
rnacentral:piRNA from 1 species